rnacentral:rRNA from 1 species
UUAGAGUUUGAUCCUGGCUCAGGAUGAACGCUAGCGGCAGGCUUAACACAUGCAAGUCGAGGGGCAGCGAGAUCAGUGCUUGCACUGAUUGUCGGCGACCGGCGCACGGGUGCGUAACGCGUAUGCAACCUACCCAUUACAGGGGGAUAACACCGAGAAAUCGGUACUAAUACCCCAUAACAUCCAGGGAGGCAUCUUCUUGGGUUGAAAACUCCGGUGGUAAUGGAUGGGCAUGCGUUGUAUUAGUUAGUUGGUGGGGUAACGGCUCACCAAGACAACGAUACAUAGGGGGACUGAGAGGUUAACCCCCCACAUUGGUACUGAGACACGGACCAAACUCCUACGGGAGGCAGCAGUGAGGAAUAUUGGUCAAUGGACGCAAGUCUGAACCAGCCAUGCCGCGUGCAGGAAGACGGCUCUAUGAGUUGUAAGCUGCUUUUGUACGAGGGUAAACGCAGAUACGCGUAUCUGUCUGAAAGUAUCGUACGAAUAAGGAUCGGCUAACUCCGUGCCAGCAGCCGCGGUAAUACGGAGGAUUCAAGCGUUAUCCGGAUUUAUUGGGUUUAAAGGGUGCGUAGGCGGUCGGAUAAGUUAGAGGUGAAAUCCCGGGGCUCAACUUCGGAAUUGCCUCUGAUACUGUUCGGCUAGGGAGUAGUUGCGGUAGGCGGAAUGUAUGGUGUAGCGGUGAAAUGCUUAGAGAUCAUACAGAACACCGAUUGCGAAGGCAGCUUACCAAGCUACUUCUGACGUUGAGGCACGAAAGCGUGGGGGAGCAAACAGGAUUAGAUACCCUGGUAGUCCACGCAGUAAACGAUGAUAACUCGUUGUCGGCGAUACAGUGUCGGUGACUAAGCGAAAGCGAUAAGUUAUCCACCUGGGGAGUACGUUCGCAAGAAUGAAACUCAAAGGAAUUGACGGGGGCCCGCACAAGCGGAGGAACAUGUGGUUUAAUUCGAUGAUACGCGAGGAACCUUACCCGGGCUUGAAAGUUAGUGACGGAUCUUGAAAGAGGUCUUCCCUUCGGGGCACGAAACUAGGUGCUGCAUGGUUGUCGUCAGCUCGUGCCGUGAGGUGUCGGGUUAAGUCCCAUAACGAGCGCAACCCCUACCGUUAGUUGCCAGCAGGUCAAGCUGGGCACUCUGACGGGACUGCCGGUGUAAGCCGAGAGGAAGGUGGGGAUGACGUCAAAUCAGCACGGCCCUUACGUCCGGGGCUACACACGUGUUACAAUGGCAGGUACAGAGGGCAGCUACCCAGCGAUGGGAUGCGAAUCUCGAAAGCCUGUCUCAGUUCGGAUUGGAGGCUGAAACCCGCCUCCAUGAAGUUGGAUUCGCUAGUAAUCGCGCAUCAGCCAUGGCGCGGUGAAUACGUUCCCGGGCCUUGCACACACCGCCCGUCAAG